AAUAGAUACCCCGGUAGUCCACGCCGUAAACGAUGAAUGCUAGGUGUUAGGGGUUUCGAUACCCUUGGUGCCGAAGUUAACACAUUAAGCAUUCCGCCUGGGGAGUACGGUCGCAAGACUGAAACUCAAAGGAAUUGACGGGGACCCGCACAAGCAGUGGAGUAUGUGGUUUAAUUCGAAGCAACGCGAAGAACCUUACCAGGUCUUGACAUCCCUCUGACCGGUCUAGAGAUAGGCCUUUCCUUCGGGACAGAGGAGACAGGUGGUGCAUGGUUGUCGUCAGCUCGUGUCGUGAGAUGUUGGGUUAAGUCCCGCAACGAGCGCAACCCUUGAUUUUAGUUGCCAGCACUUCGGGUGGGCACUCUAGAAUGACUGCCGGUGACAAACCGGAGGAAGGCGGGGAUGACGUCAAAUCAUCAUGCCCCUUAUGACCUGGGCUACACACGUACUACAAUGGCCAGUACAACGGGAAGCGAAGCCGCGAGGUGGAGCCAAUCCUAUCAAAGCUGGUCUCAGUUCGGAUUGCAGG
rnacentral:rRNA from 1 species